AAUGGACCCAAAAUGGUACCGUUCGUUUGUGCUUCGUUUGUGCAGGUUUGUGCAGCAAAAAUUUUCGUUUGUGCUGCGAUGGUUUUUUAGUUAUGAACGAUUCUUUUAUAGGUCAUCCAGAGUUCACCCAGCCCCCCAUCUGCUCAGAAUGGACCCAAAAUGGUACCGUUCGUUUGUGCUUCGUUAGUGCUGGUUUGUGCAGCAAAAAGUUUCGUUUGUGCUGCUUCCGUUUCGGAGAUAUUAGACAUUUAUUUUAUAGCGAUGACGUCACCCAGCCCCCCACCUGUCUCCAAAUGGACCCAAAAUGGUACCGUUCGUUUGUGCUUCGUUUGUGCAGGUUUGUGCAGCAAAAAUUUUCGUUUGUGCUGCUUCCGUUUCGGAGAUAUUACACAUUUAUUUUAUAGCGAUGACGUCUGGUAGCCCCGCCCCCUUGUUUACUUCCAAACGACCCAAAAUAGUGCCGUUCGUUCGUUUGUGUUUCGUUUGUGCUGGUUUGUGCUGCAAAAAUGGUACCGAUUGUGCCGGCUGCUACGGUUUUGCAGAUAUUACACAUUUAAUUCAUAGCGAAGACGUCACCCAGCCCCACGUCACUGUAUUUUGUCGCGAAUUUCAAGCUCCUGGAAUGCUCCUCAUGCAGGACGAAUACAAGGUCAUUAUAGAUCUCCCAGGCAUAUGCAGUCCUCCUGCAGUAUGCCACAUAAUGCCCGAGAGAAUCCUGGGUCAGUCCUGGUUCAAAGCCAAUGACUGCUCUCAAAGUAAAGGUCUUCUCUUUUAGCUCCAGACUGGAGGGAAAUUCAAGCAAGGCAACUUCCUUGCAACUGCUACCAAGAGUUUUGAAUGAAGACGGACACCGGGAAGGAUUUUUGGCGUUCAGUGAAUCAUUCAAUUUGUCAUUUAUUUAAUACUAAUUUAUUUUCUAGAGAUGUCAUAUCCUUAC